GGCGAGAUGGCCGAGCGGUCUAAGGCGCCAGACUAAGGUUACCUGUCAUCUGGUCCGAAAGGGCGUGGGUUCGAAUCCCACUCUCGUCA